UACGUAGGGGGCAAGCGUUGUCCGGAUUUAUUGGGCGUAAAGAGCGUGUAGGCGGCCAGGUAGGUCGGUUGUGAAAACUGGAGGCUCAACCUUCAGAGGUCGACCGAAACCAUCUGGCUAGAGUCCGGGAGAGGAGAGUGGAAUUCCUGGUGUAGCGGUGAAAUGCGCAGAUAUCAGGAAGAACACCCGUGGCGAAAGCGGCUCUCUGGAACGGUACUGACGCUGAGGCGCGAAAGCGUGGGGAGCAAACAGG
rnacentral:rRNA from 1 species